rnacentral:rRNA from 1 species
CUACAACCCGUCAUCACAACCCCCACUUUACAAGGUUGACCUCGGAUCAGGUAGGGAUACCCGCUGAACUUAAGCAUAUCAAUAAGCGGAGGAAAAGAAACCAACAGGGAUUGCCUCAGUAACGGCGAGUGAAGCGGCAAAAGCUCAAAUUUGAAAGCUGGCUCCUUCGGGGCCCGCGUUGUAAUUUGUAGAGGAUGCUUCGGGCGCGGCUCCGGUCUAAGUUCUCUGGAACGAGACGUCAUAGAGGGUGAGAAUCCCGUAUGUGACCGGCUGCCUGUGCCCAUGUGAAGCUCCUUCGACGAGUCGAGUUGUUUGGGAAUGCAGCUCAAAAUGGGAGGUGUACUCCUUCUAAAGCUAAAUAUUGGCCAGAGACCGAUAGCGCACAAGUAGAGUGAUCGAAAGAUGAAAAGCACUUUGGAAAGAGAGUUAAACAGUACGUGAAAUUGUUGAAAGGGAAGCGCUUGCAAUCAGACUUGCGCGGCGUCGAUCAACCUGGGUUCUCCCUGGUGCACUCGGCGCCGCUCAGGCCAGCAUCAGUUUCGGCGGUGGGAUAAAGGCUGAGGGAACGUGGGUCACCUCGGUGACCGUUAUAGCCCUCGGUGCAAUGCCGCCUGCCGGGACUGAGGACCGCGCU